rnacentral:rRNA from 1 species
GAUGAACGCUGGCGGCGUGCCUAAUACAUGCAAGUCGAGCGAACAGACGAGGAGCUUGCUCCUCUGACGUUAGCGGCGGACGGCUGAGUAACACGUGGAUAACCUACCUAUAAGACUGGGAUAACUUCGGGAAACCGGAGCUAAUACCGGAUAAUAUAUUGAACCGCAUGGUUCAAUAGUGAAAGACGGUUUUGCUGUCACUUAUAGAUGGAUCCGCGCCGCAUUAGCUAGUUGGUAAGGUAACGGCUUACCAAGGCAACGAUGCGUAGCCGACCUGAGAGGGUGAUCGGCCACACUGGAACUGAGACACGGUCCAGACUCCUACGGGAGGCAGCAGUAGGGAAUCUUCCGCAAUGGGCGAAAGCCUGACGGAGCAACGCCGCGUGAGUGAUGAAGGUCUUCGGAUCGUAAAACUCUGUUAUUAGGGAAGAACAAAUGUGUAAGUAACUAUGCACGUCUUGACGGUACCUAAUCAGAAAGCCACGGCUAACUACGUG